rnacentral:misc_RNA from 1 species
GAUGAAGAACGCAGCGAAACGCGAUAGGUAAUGUGAAUUGCAGAAUUCCGUGAAUCAUCGAAUCUUUGAACGCACAUUGCGCCCCCUGGUAUUCCGGGGGGCAUGCCUGUCCGAGCGUCAUUACAACCCUCAAGCUCAGCUUGGUGUUGGGCCCCGCCGCCCCGGCGGGCCCUAAAGUCAGUGGCGGUGCCGUCCGGCUCCGAGCGUAGUAAUUCUUCUCGCUCUGGAGGUCCGGUCGUGUGCUCGCCAGCAACCCCCAAUUUUUUUCAGGUUGACCUCGGAUCAGGUAGGGAUACCCGCUGAACUUAAGCAUAUCAAUAAGCGGAGGA